CCCUUAGAUGUUCUGGGCCGCACGCGUGCUACACUGAGUGGAUCAGCGGGUCAGGUUGCGCGAAAGUGUUUCCUAAUCUUUAAAUCCGCUCGUGAUGGGGAUUGACGGUUGCAAUUUUCCGUCAUGAACGAGGAAUACCUUGUAAGCGCGGGUCAUCAUCCCGCGCUGAAUACGUCCCUGCCCUUUGUACACACCGCCCGUCGCUCCUACCGAUUGAGUGGUCCGGUGAGGCUUUGGGAUCUGGGCGGAAAGAGCGUUUCGCUGUUUCUGUCCGGAAAACUCAGUCGAACCUUAUCAUUUAGAGGAAGGAGAAGUCGUAACA
rnacentral:rRNA from 1 species